AGGUUAGUCUACUAAGUCAGUUGGUGAUAAAAAAUUAGACAACAGAAAAUCUGAAACAGCCUUUAGUCUUUACAAUGAAAUUGUUUUCAUAAAUUAAUAUCUAAAUUAUUUUCUUUGAAAAUCUGAACAAUAGAUUUCCACUUUGAAAAUUAAGAACUUGUUGACCGUAGUGACGAACAAACAGUGUUGGGUAUGAAGGCUAUGGUGUGAAUACAGUUGGUAUAAUUUAUAAUUGUAUUAAACGAUCGACAAAUAAAUGAUUUUGGAUAAGCAGUUCAAGUGAAAAAUUUAUUACGACACAGAAUCUGUAUGCAAACCUCUUCAAACGUGUCACCAAAUUUAAUUAUAAUUAUUUUGGAUAAAAAGAUACUUGUCACUAACAGUAUCCACCAUAAGAUAUGCAUUUGAUUAAAGGACAAUGCUGCUGUUCAACUUACGGCCAUAUGGAAUCAAUUGUAUAGUUUUUAGAUGUCCUACGGCCAUCAUAUGAGAAGAGAGACACCACUUCACCGGUACUGUGCAAAAACUGCAGUGAACAUCACCAGUUAUACACCCUUUUGUCUACUGCUACGACUAAAACUUCUGAAAUUUUAGAAAUUCUGGACAAUCUAUAUGAAGCUCUAAAUCCUCAAGAAGAAAAGAUAAUGAAGCUGUAACAAUGUUAAAAAAAAAUAAAGUUUUUAAUGGAGGAAAAUCUAUUUAUAUUCCAAAAAUAUUUGGUGUUUUUGUUCACAUUUGACUAGAAGAAGUGCUCCAACAUUUAACAAAGUUAUUGAUCGCUGUAAUUUAGAAAUUGGUUACAAAAGAUACUUCCUGAUAUCUAUUGAAAAAACAGCUAUCAAAGCCAGAUUAAUUUUGGCCUAAAUAUACUUUUAGGUAAUAAACAUUAAUCCUAUGUAUUCCUGAAAAUACUUUUUCCAAAGUAACACAAAUAUUUUUGUCUAAAAAGUUA
rnacentral:lncRNA from 1 species